rnacentral:lncRNA from 1 species
UAAACUUCCAAAUGUUAUAGGCCAAGGACUCACUGUUUUGAGUUGUCAAUUAGGUAGAUAGCUCUGUUGGUCAAUCAAAUGAUUUUUGUGGCUUUAGAACCCAAAUAAAGUGGUGUUGAGAGUCUCAAAGUCAUUCUUAUUAUCUACAUGAAUAUUUAUGGAACCCUGGCUGAAUUAAAAGUCCAAAAGAAUGAGGUGGAACACGGCUUCCAAAGUCCAGGCUGUGAGUUUGAGAUGCCUCUGUCACGGAUUCGACACUGUCGAAUUAUUAUCAAUUUUUGUCAAACUAAAGCCUAAAGUGCUGGGAAGGGGUGAUAGAGGGUGGUGGGAAUUAUGUGAAACAAUAUAGACGGGUUCUAGGUCUUUUAAUUUGGUGCCUUUCAACUUUGGAGGGACCUAGGAAAUGAUGUGUGGGAAGUUCUCCUCCCACCCUUGAGUCUAGCUCAGGUUCACCUCUUCAAGUGAAUCCUGUCCCAGGCGCAGUGUUGAAGUUGACUUCACCCAUCUUCUCAUAUUCAGCUCUCUGGGGAUUCUUUCAUUCUUCAGUGAUGGAUCAAUCAUCUCAGAAAACAAGAACGACUCUGGAAACUGCACACCACCAGCUGUCACCUCCAGCGGAGGUUCUGGGGAUCUCUGGAUGACCACGCACAUGCAGAGUGAAGGAGCCGAUCUGGUCCUACCUGUUGCUGACUUCCAGGUUCCCCUAGAAGCCUUGUGCUUCCCCUGCGCACAUUGGGUUUGGGUUGCAAAGGGGAGGGAUGCACGUCUGAAAGCAAGAAGUGUGUCCAGGCCAACGGACGUCUGAAAGAUGCAGAGGAAGAUGCCAAAAGUGUCCACCAAGGUCGAUCACUUUGGUUGCUUGGGGGCCCUGUUCAUGCAGCUCCUUUGGGGGUUUCAGGGCUCUCAGAGCUGAUGGGUCCUGCAUGAAGAGAAUGAGUCACAGCUGCGUCCUGUCCACCCGUGGGCCAUCACACAAGCCUGGGGCCCUGCCACCUCUCAGUCUCGUCUGCAUCUUGGGCCACCCCGUCGUAUCCUG